rnacentral:rRNA from 1 species
GACGAACCGUGCAAACGUUGUUCGGAAUCACUGGGCUUAAAGGGCGCGUAGGCGGGCUCCCAAGUCGGUGGUGAAAUCUUUCGGCCCAACCGGAAAAGUGCCGCCGAUACUGGGAGCCUCGAGGGAGGUAGGGGUCGAGGGAACUCUAGGUGGAGCGGUGAAAUGCGUAGAUAUCUGGAGGAACACCGGUGGCGAAGGCGGCAUCCUGGACCGGCAUUGACGCUGAGGAGCGAAAGCCAGGGGAGCAAACGGG